rnacentral:rRNA from 1 species
AUUGAACGCUGGCGGCAGGCCUAACACAUGCAAGUCGGGCGGGGGGCGGACGGGGGAGAAAGGUAUGGGGAUCUGCCUGAUGGCGGGGGAUAACUACUGGAAACGGUAGCUAAUACCGCUUACCAUAGGAUGAACCCAUAUGGGAUUAGCUAGAAGGUAAGGUAACGGCUUACCUAGGCGACGAUCCCUAGCUGGUCUGAGAGGAUGAUCAGCCACACUGGGACUGAGACACGGCCCAGACUCCUACGGGAGGCAGCAGUGGGGAAUAUUGCACAAUGGGCGCAAGCCUGAUGCAGCCAUGCCGCGUGUAUGAAGAAGGCCUUCGGGUUGUAAAGUACUUUCAGUCGGGAGGCGUUACCGACAGAAGAAGCACCGGCUAACUCCGUGCCAGCCGCCGCGGUAAUAC